GACCGCCGUGGCUGAGUGGUAACGUUCUCGACUUUUUUCGUCAGGUCGUGGGUUCGAAGCCCACUACGGUCU